CCCGCUGACACAUGGGGCCCGCCAAGUCGUCUCCGUCCUCAGGACGAAAUCUCGCAUGUAUCCCGUGUUCUUCCUGGAGACCUUCCCGAUCCAAAUCCUCGUCGAUUCGGCUUGGAUCUCGUUCCUCUCGCACGGAGAUUACUCUAUAAAUACUCCCCACGUCCGUCUCUGCCGAUUUUUUUUUGCAAAAUCCCUCUCACGUGCCCUAGAACGCCGUAGUCAUCUCGCCGGAGUUCCGCUGCCAGGAGCACUUGCGCCGCCCCUGAAGCUCUUUCAUCAGUUGAUUCUGUCACUCCAAAACAACAACGAGUUGAGCUUACGAGCAAAGUACGGCUCGCUGGAAGUUCGUCCGUGGAACCACCGGGCGCAGCAGCAAAGGAGCAAGCUCCAUCGUCCUCGAGGUCAACUAAUUCAUCUCCAUCGCGCUCUGCACACGCCGGGCAUCUCUACGUAGCCGGGGAUUUCCCGUAGCCGUCGCCACCGUCGUCCGGAGCCUCGCCGCGCGCCGUCUUCUCCAACUCCGGUGACACCCGCCCUCUGUUUUCCGAUUGUCCGGAUUGUGAAGCGGAUCGGAAUUAAUCGUUAGAAUACUUCAACAGCAUUCAAGG